AGCGCUUAUUGGCUCUGCGUGUGCAAUGAGAAAACAAGUGGAGAACAGCUUGAUUAGCUUCUACCAGACUCUUGAAUCUUGAUUUCAUGAUAUGAUGAUGCACUGUUCAAGGAGUUGGAGAAGCUUUUUUAAGUCGAGAUUUCAGACGGCAGGUGCUACAGAGUGAGUGUGCCCGAUCUACAAUGCAAAAGCACUUGGGGUUUUUCUUCUCACGAUGGGAUUCAGUUCCACACGAAAGGAAAAAAGCUGCAUUCUGCAGGUGCGUCCAUCAUCUCUUUAGCCUUUUACAAACAUCUUCUCGUGAAAUGCGACCUUAUGCUUAUGGCCCUCAUCUGGCUGCACUCCACCAAACUCGGCAACCUCUAUUCAUGCUACCACACUGUGCUUCAUUCGUACCAGUUAUCUGAAAUGUGACAUGACGUUGGCCAAAAGCCAAAGUUCAAAUUUUCAUCUUUCA